AUUGAACGCUGGCGGCAUGCCUUACACAUGCAAGUCGAACGGUAACAGGUCUUCGGAUGCUGACGAGUGGCGAACGGGUGAGUAAUACAUCGGAACGUGCCCGAUCGUGGGGGAUAACGAAGCGAAAGCUUUGCUAAUACCGCAUAAGAUCUACGGAUGAAAGCAGGGGACCGCAAGGCCUUGCGCGAACGGAGCGGCCGAUGGCAGAUUAGGUAGUUGGUGGGAUAAAAGCUUACCAAGUCGACGAUCUGUAGCUGGUCUGAGAGGACGACCAGCCACACUGGGACGGAGGCACGGCCCAGACUCCUACGGGAGGCAGCAGUGGGGAAUUUUGGACAAUGGGCGAAAGCCUGAUCCAGCCAUGCCGCGUGCAGGAUGAAGGCCUUCGGGUUGUAAACUGCUUUUGUACGGAACGAAAAGACUCUUUCUAAUAAAGAGGGUCCAUGACGGUACCGUAAGAAUAAGCACCGGCUAAUUACGUGCCAGCCGCCGCAGUAAAAC
rnacentral:rRNA from 1 species